UACGAAGGGGGCAAGCGUUAAUCGGAAUUACUGGGCGUAAAGCGUGCGCAGGCGGUUUCUUAAGUCAGAUGUGAAAGCCCCGGGCUUAACCUGGGAACUGCGUUUGAAACUGGGAGACUCGAGUGUAGCAGAGGGGGGUGGAAUUCCACGUGUAGCAGUGAAAUGCGUAGAUAUGUGGAGGAACACCGAUGGCGAAGGCAGCCCCCUGGGUUAACACUGACGCUCAUGCACGAAAGCGUGGGGAGCAAACAGG
rnacentral:rRNA from 1 species